rnacentral:rRNA from 1 species
CCUACGGGGGGCUGCAGUGAGGAAUAUUGGUCAAUGGACGAGAGUCUGAACCAGCCAAGUAGCGUGAAGGAUGACUGCCCUAUGGGUUGUAAACUUCUUUUAUAUGGGAAUAAAAUGUUCCACGUGUGGGAUUUUGUAUGUACCAUAUGAAUAAGGAUCGGCUAACUCCGUGCCAGCAGCCGCGGUAAUACGGAGGAUCCGAGCGUUAUCCGGAUUUAUUGGGUUUAAAGGGAGCGUAGGUGGAUUGUUAAGUCAGUUGUGAAAGUUUGCGGCUCAACCGUAAAAUUGCAGUUGAAACUGGCAGUCUUGAGUACAGUAGAGGUGGGCGGAAUUCGUGGUGUAGCGGUGAAAUGCUUAGAUAUCACGAAGAACUCCGAUUGCGAAGGCAGUUCACUGGACUGCAACUGACACUGAGGCUCGAAAGUGUGGGUAUCAAACAGGAUUAGAUACCAUAGUAGUC